UAAUUUUCCCAAUCUCUAACCCUAACAACUGCAACCUCACCUUCCUUCACGUAACAAACACAUAAACACGUAGAGGUAGAAAUGAAUGAUGGAGAUCUGAGAUCCAGAGAGUGAGGGAGGCGUGAGGAAGAAGAGAAGGAGAAGGGUGUGGCGUCGCCAGCUGGGUACCGCCGCCGUUCAACUCGUCGUCACGCCGUUCACGUCAAGCUUGUUCCAUCACCAUGUCGCGAAGGAGGGAUUGCUGCCCGGGGUCGCGCCGUUGGUGGAGCUUGCCGCCGUCGCCGUUCAAGCUACUUCUGCCGCCACACUCCACGCCGUUGCCAUCGUCAUUCAUGGAGGAAGAGGAAGCAAGUGCGCCAGAGGAGAGCGAGAAAGACUGAAGCUGCGGGGGAGAGGAAGUGACGCACGAAGCUGCCGCAGGAACUGCGAGCCAGAAGAGCCACUGACGUUGCCAUUGUGGCCAUCGCCAUCGCCGUGAGUGAGGUCCGCCGCUGGUACUAAUCGAGACUGCCGAAGUUGCUGUUUUGACUCUGAUGUAAUUCAUCCUUGUCCCUACUCACGGUUGUCCUCUGUUCUUCCUCUGCUUUUGAUUUUCGCAGUUACCUAAAUCUCUGCUGCCGUGGGUAUUGCCGUAGGAGUCGUUGGGAACUAAUGUUGGAGCUGCCCUUGAUGAUUUUGAUGCUACUACGUAGGUUCGGAGCUGCUGUGUUGUUGCCGGAGGAAUGGAACUCAUAAAAAAAAAUGUUAUUGAGGCUGAUGUUUGGUUUGAUUGCGUUGUUAAUGCGACAUUGAGUGACACAGGUUUGAAGAUGCAAUAUGAAGCUGCAAGCGAUUAGUAGGCUUUCUUUAUGGUUUUAAUUGCUUUCAUAGAGUCCCCUCUCUCUUGUCCUUUGAGGUUUUAUUUUAACAGAGGGGUAGGUGUUGUAUUUGGGUUUAUAUGACUUCUUAUGUAUAAGAAUUACUAUUAAUAAUA